rnacentral:rRNA from 1 species
AUUGAACGCUGGCGGCAGGCCUAACACAUGCAAGUCGAGCGAGCGGCGGACGGGUGAGUAAUGUAUGGGGAUCUGCCUGAUGGAGGGGGAUAACUACUGGAAACGGUAGCUACUACCGCAUACCAUCAGAUGUGCCCAGAUGGGAUUAGCUAGUAGGUAGGGUAAUGGCUAACCUAGGCGACGAUCCCUAGCUGGUCUGAGAGGAUGAUCAGCCACACUGGGACUUAGACACGGCCCAGACUCCUACGGGAGGCAGCAGUGGGGAAUAUUGCACAAUGGGCGCAAGCCUGAUGCAGCCAUGCCGCGUGUGUGAAGAAGGCCCUAGGGUUGUAAAGUACUUUCAGUGGGGAGGCGUUACCGGCAGAAGAAGCACCGGCUAACUCCGUGCCAGCAGCCGCGGUAAUUC